UCAUGUAUCAAAAGGUGAGUUUUCAUUAUUUCCACAUUAUAUUAUUGCUGAACAAGUAAAUAUAUAUAUGUCAUUUUGAAAAUGAAAUUUGAGAUAAGUGGUGUCUCAUAACUAUUAAAAGUUGGAAAUGGCCGACUGUUUGUAGGAUCUCAAAUUCUUAGCUUAAAAUUCUGUGUAAACAUGGCCAUGGAGCGAAGAAGCUUGCAGUGAAAGUUGAAUAUCUGGCAAUGGAUGUGUGGCGUUAUUAGAUUGUUAAGGAUUUAUUUCUUCACAUCUUAAUGGAGUUUAUUCUUAAUAAACAGGCAUGGAUAGUGUGAAUGCAUAACUAGGAGAGAAUUUUACUGGCAGAAUUCUUGUGGCUGCCCUCCGGCAACUGUUUCCAUUAUUAUCUUCACAACUUCAUCUGAUUUUAGCACCACCAAUGCAUUCUCCUGCCAUGAAACAGGAGUGACACAUGUCUUAGUCACUGGAGGUGCUGGCUGUAUAGGCUCUCAUGCGGGCGCUUCGACUCCUCAAAGAUUCAUACUCUGUAACUAUAGUGGAUAAUCUUUCCAGAGGCAGUAUGGGUGCUGCUAAAAUUCUCCAAAAGCUAUUUCCAGAGCCCGGACAUCUUCAGCUCAUCUAUGCUGAUCUUGGAGAUGCGAAAUCAGUACUAAGCAACAUUAAUGUAUCAUUUCUGUUAAUGCUUAGUGUGCCUAUAAGAAACUGUAUACAGAUACAUAUUUGACUUUAUUU